rnacentral:rRNA from 1 species
AUUUAAUGUAAUUCCUACAAUGUUAAUGCAUCAGAUCCCAUUAGAACUCUACAGUUAAAUGCACUUGGGCUAGAGUAAUACCGGGAUGGGUAACCUCCCAGGAAGUCCUAGUGUCUUACAUA